UGGGAACGUGCCCAAAGGUACGGAACAACUCCGGGAAACUGGAGCUAAUACCGUAUGUGCCCGAAAGGGGAAAGAUUCAUCGCCCUUGGAUCGGCCCGCGUCUGAUUAGCUAGUUGGCGGGGUAAUGGCCCACCAAGGCGACGAUCAGUAGCUGGUCUGAGAGGAUGACCAGCCACACUGGGACUGAGACACGGCCCAGACUCCUACGGGAGGCAG
rnacentral:rRNA from 1 species